rnacentral:lncRNA from 1 species
CCCCGAGUGCUUGGUGCCAGAGUGCCAGUGUCCCUCUGCCUUUCCCUCAGUACACAUGUGGCUCGAGCAGUUCCCGGCACCAUUAAAGGAGGCGUCGGCUACGUGCACACGUUAUAACUUUUCUAAGCUGCCAUGGGAAAAGCAGUCGUACUGAAGUGGGGGACUUUUACGGGGUUGCUGUCGACUUUUCUUAUCGCGAAGUACCACUUCCAGUAUGAUUUGGAGCCUUGGUUUCGUAUCCCGGAAGUGUCUCCGCCUAUACAAAACGGUAACCUCGUAUUCUGAAGUUCAUUAUCUAAAAAGAACUCUUAUUCAAUGAGUUAU